CUACGGGUUGCUGCAGCAGGGAAUAUUGCACAAUGGACGGAAGUCUGAUGCAGCGACGCCGCAUGGAUGAUGAAGGCCCUCGGGUUGUAAAAUCCUUUUCAGGGGGACGAGGAAGGACGGUACCCUUGGAAUAAGCGUCGGCUAACUACGUGCCAGCAGCCGCGGUAAGACGUAGGACGCAAGCGUUAUCCGGAUUUACUGGGCGUAAAGCGUCUGUAGGCGGAAUGGUAAGUUGGACGUGAAAGCUCCGGGCUCAACCCGGAGAGGUCGUUCAAUACUGCCAAACUAGAGGGCAUCAGAGGAGCGUGGAAUUUCCGGUGUAGCGGUAAAAUGCGCAGAUAUCGGAAGGAACACCAAUGGCGAAGGCAGCGCUCUGGGAUGAACCUGACGCUAAGAGACGAAAGCUAGGGGAGCGAACAGGAUUAGAUACCCGGGUAGUC
rnacentral:rRNA from 1 species